ACGUGUGGCUGAGGGUGAAGAGCAUCGCCUCUGUGGACACUAAGGUCUGGAGCCUGAUUGGGAACCAAGGUCCUGACUGGAACCAGGCCAACAUCAUUGUCAACCCCAGCGGACCCUUCCAGGUGGUGUUUCAGGCCAUUCGGGGAUCGGGCUACGAAGGGGACAUUGCCAUCGAUGAUGUAUCAGUCACCAAAGGGAAAUGCAAGCAGGAGAAUUCCGUUUCCAACACAGUUCUGAUUGGAGGAGCCCCGGUGCUGUGCUCGCAACCAUUGGCCGCCUCACUGACCUUCGCCCUCUGCUCCUAUCUACUGCUGCUCUACAGAUGAUGAGCACAACUCACAUCGUCACCUGUCCACCUUUCUGUUUUCAUCGCCAAUCCAUCCUUCAUAUCUCCCAUUCCACACUGGCUAAGCUUGUACCUCUUCUUGUACCACUUCUUCUCUCGCAUUCUUCUUUUCCACACUCACACUUUUACAGUCUUAUGCUGUUGUUUUCCACAGUCAUACUCAUCUCCUUGUGACCUUUGACACCCAAUAUCCAACCCCUCACAGCAGACACUCACCCGGCUUCAUACUUCUCUUCACUCUCUCACUCUUCCGUCACCUCCAUCUACUCUUUCCCAACCCUGUAUUCCUGGGACACAAGUGUCGGACACUCU